rnacentral:lncRNA from 1 species
AUGAUUUGAUCACUCAUAUAAGGGAACUUGUUGGUACCAUCCAUAGGAUCAGCUCCCUGGGUUUGGGGGUCACAGGGAUUCAAGUUCAGAUCCACAUGGCUUUAUAUUUCUGCUGUGUCCAUGAACAAAUUGCCUGACCUGCCUAUGCCAUAACUGGCAGAGUGCAAACUCGAACACCCACUUCUAAAUGUUCAGUAAGAGAGGCUUUGCUUGGAGUUCCCAUUGUGGCUCAGUGGUUAACGAAUCCAACUAGGAACCAUGAGGUUGUGGGUUUGAUCCUUGGUCUUGCUCAGUGGGUUAAGGAUCUGGUGUUGCCAUGAGCUGUGGUGUAGGUCGCAGGUGCAGCUUGGCUCCUGUGUUGUUGUGGCUCUGGUGUAGGCCAGCAGCUACAGCUCUGAUUGGACCCCUAGCCUGGGAACCUCCUUAUGCCUCGGGUGUGGCCAUAGAAAAGAUAAAAACAAAACAAAACAAAAACAAAAAAAAAGAGAGGCUUUGCUUGGGAAAACAGGGGUGCAUUUCAACCUCUGAGCCAGGAGACAUUUAAUCAAUUAUUACAAAGCAGUUCUGCCUUGUUUACUUUUAAUAAUGGGUUUGUUUGCUCUUAAUAAGAAGAACCAGACCCAACCCUCCUAUUUGCUGAAGUUCGUGAGCAAAUGGAGCUGGAAGUUAGCAGUAAUCUUUGCAGCCACAAGUGGCCAGUGGCCACAGGCAACAAGUGAAAACAGGUUGUGUGCAGGGUACCAUUUCAUUUGCAGAGAGUAAUGUUAUUUACCCGUGAUCCUAUCCAGCAACUUCAAAGCUGGAGGCAAGCAUUAUCCAACCGGAAGUGCAACCCCCCACGGCCGCCUGUCCCCAAGGCAGGAGCGACACUGGGUUGUAACCUCCCCAGCGAUUUCCAUCAGGAGAUAGAGGCAGAAGAAAGGUUCUCUCUGGGCCUCACUGCCCGCAUUUGUAAAAGGAGAGAGUUGGGUCCUUUCCAGGGGAUGUUAAAUACAUCCUCCAUGUGAGGCCAGGGCCGAAUCUGGCUCUCAGGAUUCCAUGUCUGCUUUACAUAUAUGUAAAUGUCCAUUGGAGCGCCCGUCAUGGCUCAGUGGUUAACGAAUUUGACUAGAAACCAUGGGGUUGCGGGUUCAAUCCCUGGCCUUGCUCAGUGGGUUAAGAAUCCAGGCAUUGCUGUGAGCUGUGGUGUGGGUUGCAGACGCAGCUUGGAUCCCAUGUUGCUGUGGCUCUGGCGUAGGCCAGGGGCUAUAGCUCCGAUUUGACCUCCAUAUGUGGGGGGAGCGGCCCAAGAAAUGGCAAAAAGAAAAAAAAAAAAAGUCUGUCUCAGCAGGUCUGUGUCCAUUUGUUUGGGAAACAGCUAGAAAAAGAGAUUAGAGAAGGGGUGGGUGCUGUGUGCUCCAGGCAUUGACUCAGUGAAAGAAUUAAGUCACUGCUUACCUGACACGUAAUGCUUCCCCUCCCCCACCUUGAGGUACCUGUAAAUACCAACGACUGGAGUCCCCCCAUCAUGGGACAAAGCAGGGUAA